GACAACAUAUAUGUCUAUAUAGUGCCUAUUAAUUGAAACAUGUAUUCUUUCAAGUAGAGCUAAAUGUCCCUUUGAUAAACUUGAUGGUGAUUUUAGUGUCACAUUUUAUUCUUAAACACAUAGAUAUCAAGUUAGAAUGUGGUAAGGCGAAAAUCAUAGAUGUUAUAUCUAUCUAUUAGGAGAAGAAAUCAUUUAAAGAAGGGGAUUCUUAUAUGUAGAUUACGUACUUCGAUCUUGGAAUGAGCAUGAAGUAGCAUGAUAAGGAAAUACCGUUUAUGAAUUUAGUGUGCGAGUUGCAACACUUUAUGAUGUAAACAUAUACUCUUGGGUUUUCUUUCUGGUUAUUUUUAUAGGGGAGGGUGUGGGGCGAGGGUUGUGUAAAUUUAUGUGCAUGCACACAUGAGUGCUUGUGUAAAUUUAUGCAUUUAAGUUAAGCCAUUGACAUAUGGAUAUGGAGCCAACUUAAUUUCCUAUGAUUCAUGUGAACUGAAAAUUGCAAUUUGUUAAUCAAGUAUUGAUGAUGGUUACUAAAUGAUAGGUACAUUUUUCCAGAUCAUGUAAAUCCUUCUGAAUUACAGUACAUACACUAGUCUAACUGGCAAUGGUAGAAAAUUGCAGCACAAUGCAAUAUACAGCUGAUCAAACCAAGUGAUACCGAGAGGCCAUUUUUAUGGACAACAACAAGAAGCCUUUCAUGUUUACCAUAUGGGACGAUCUAACGGACUAUGAAGGGGUUGUACUACUACAACUGUUGCACGAGCACACUGUUAUUCUUGCAAAACGAGUAGUUGUUACAACAUACCAUCGCGGGCAAAAGACAACGAACAAAUGCUCUUCGCUUAUACUUUGAGAAGCUCAUCUGAAUCAUCUUCAUCCCUCAAUCUUGCAUCGGUUGACAAUGAAACAAUAUCUAUCUCGAUCAUUCCUUCAUUGUUGUCUAGAAUGAGUUUAAAAUAUGACUUUCACUUUCUUUGUCAAUACUGACCAACUUCUCCAUAGUGAGAUUUCUCCACUAAAAAAAAUGCUAAUAUCUCUUUUGAGUUAUGAUCUGACAACAAUAGACAUGGAAACAUUGGCUGAAAAAAUAUUAGCAAUGAGAGCUGAACAAGUGUAUGAAACAGUCGUUGUCCAGGUACUUCGUAUUAUCUCUUUUGAGUUGUGAUCUGCAUAAGUGUUUGUUCUCUACUGACAAAUAAAUCUGCCUUUUUCUUUGCUGAUUGUGACCUCUGUGAGCUUCAUUUUUCUUUAAGUUUUGAUAGAAUGAAAUUUUGCAUUUUAAUGUGGAUCAGUAGCCUAUAUGUUGUCUUGGGAAGGCACUUCCUUCAAGAUGAAUUAGCUUUGCAAGUGAUUCUUUGUUUCUUUUAGAUGUCUCUUGUCUUUAAAAUGUUGAAAUUUAUAAAGAGUUGUCUUCCAGCAGUCCAUUUAUGCCUAAGGGAAAUUACACCAACAUUCCAUUUUGUUACUCGCUGUUUUUCAUAACAGUACCACUACAUUGGGAAGGGACUGGGAAGGUAUUGUUAAAAGUGACUAGUAUUGAGCAUAUUAAAUACAUGAUUUAUUUCACUAACUUAUUUU